GCCGGACCUGCAGCAUUGUAACAAGUUUCAGUGAGGUGUUUGGUAUUGCAAGUUUCCAAUCAGCCGGACCUGCAGCAUUGUAACAAGUUUCAGUGAGGUGUUUGGUAUUGCAAGUUUCCAAUCUUUCUUUUAUGGUGACCUCAGAUUUUGAGUACUGGAAAGAACCAUCUGUAAACGAUUGCUGUUGGAUUCAAGGUCAUAAACUAAGGUAAAUCCAUGCCAUUGGUAAAUUAUUUCUCUUUUUAUUUUCCAUAUUGCAGCAUUUGUACAUAUAUGUAUUUCUAAUAGGUUCACUUUUUUUCUUCCAUCGUUUGUUUACAUAUGAUAGCUCUGAUUUUGAAACAAUAUAGAAGUAAUUGUCCAGUAUGCAUCUUCAAAGUGUUGCAACAACCUACUUUCUGUAAUAUGUGGUUCAGUUCAUGAAUUUGCUGACAGAACCUGUACCUAGGGAAGUACGUAACACAUCAUCAGGCCCAACGCUCUACCUAAGAGGAGGCCGAUCUAUAGCUUUGUGAAGUAUAGCUUAUUCUUCGUAUGGUUGGAACUUAUUUGAUUUAUUGUUUGAUCUCUUCAACUGUUGAACCCAGGUAGCCAACUUUGAGAAGAUACGAGGAGAUAACAACUAGACAAGAGAAGUAAAGCUACCGUAAUAAUCUGCAUUAGAUUCCUUGAAAUACAAAAUGAUAGGAUAAAUUACGAGGAUUUUUAUGAGAGUCAUAGCAAACUGGAAUUUAAUACGUACAACGGCGUACCUAAAAAUACAAUAGUACUAUAACUUAUAUUUCGAAGAAUAAUGUUUCCUGAAGUCCUCUAGAGCACAUACGAAAAUUCAGGUCAAAUCCUCAAGGUACUAUUCCAAAUUACGAAAUUGAGAAAUCAAAUAUGAGAACUUUGGCUUACAAAAUAGGGAAAUCAAAUGUGAGAGUUUCGUCUAGGACUGCUCCAAACUACACUAGCAAAUCUUUGAUACCGUAGCACAUUUCAAGUUAUCACUAUUUGCACCGUCUAUCCAAAAUAAUAAAUUAAUUAAUCAUCUUUUACCCCAAAUAGUAUCUACUAUCUGAAGCAAUCACAGAACAUGAUCAAAUUUAGGUCUUUUCUAUCUAACAGAUCAUACCACAAUAAGCUACUAUGUAUUACUGGAAAUAUAGGAUUAGUAUGAAAAUAUGGGCCUAGCACACGAUCAAUGCCACUAUUACGGGGAGGAACCAUGCAAAGCUCUGUACGAGAGAAAUUUGAGUUUUUGGCACAUUUGUACUUUCGGAUAACCAAAUGGUAAAAUAGCAGUAAUAUAUAUCCAUGUGUAUUUAUUUCCCCUGCUCUCCCUCAAAAUAGUUAGUUAUUUUCAGCAACUGAUGCUAUUUUCCCUGGAGAGCAUACAAGUCCUGAAUUGAUGAUUUGAUAAUAUUUGGCCAGCGCUGAUCCAAGGUGGCCUUAUUAUUUAUAAUUUAUUUUUUCUAUUAUUUUAACAGUUGAUGCUUAUGUAUUUUAUUGCAAGGUCUAUGUUGCUUACUUUUCAGUUGAGUUUUUCCAUUUUCACAGAACAUUGGCUGAAAUAGUCAGCUGUUAUGUUAUAUUGUAUAUAAGCUAACCGAGGCGGAAAGGUAGUUCAUCCAUUCCUUUACUUUUUUUUCCACUAAAGAUAGUGCUAGAAAUCGAUCAACAGCUAAUUAUGAUGUAACUUUAGUGGGCAUCUCAAAUUAUUUGACACUAUUACCUUAAAUCCAUAAAAAAACUCAGUUAAGAUGCAUAUACAGUAGAAUAUAAUCACAGAACUAUCAAAUUUAUUAUGAGAGAAUGUGGUACUUAACACUUUCAAUUCUGAUGUGCUUUGGUAUAUUUGGUUGUUGACAAACAAAUUCUGGUUUUAGAAAAGAAACUGGACAAGCAUUGAUAUAAUCUGGAACAAGGUGGUGGCAAACGUUAGAACAUGACCAGUGCUUUGCAAGCAUUCUCACACUUCAGUGUUGGUCAACAUGCUGCUGCUGGCAGAAACAAGGGUUGAGUCGUUACAGAUUGGCUAGAUAUGAACUAUGCAGGCUUCAUGAAGAUGUUUAAGCGCUCCCCUCCUCUAGAUUAGCUUUUCAGCUGAUUCUCCUUAGUCCUUAUAUCCCAUCUGUGCUUCGCUCAAUGGUUGAGUUUCAAAAUUGUAAUUGAAUGAUGUAUGAGACCUAUUAUGGUUGCAUGUCAAUGGAACCAGGGGGCAAUCCCUAUUCUAAAAA